AUGCAACAAAUUAUUGAUUUUUGGAUACUUCUACGAGAUUUCCAGUUUGAUGAGCAUGCGGAGGAUGACAUAGUUUGGAAGCACACGGAAAAUGGGCUAUACUUGGCGGCUUCCGCUUAUUUGUCGCAAUACAUGGGAAAUUUCUACUUGCCUAUGGAGCAGAUGGUUUGGAAGGCUUGUGCCCCUCCCAAGGUCAAGCUUUUUGCUUGGUUGGCUAUUCAAGAUAGGAUUCGGACUGUCGAUCAGUUGGUCAAGCGAGGUUAG
rnacentral:rRNA from 1 species